rnacentral:rRNA from 1 species
ACGACUCUCGGCAACGGAUAUCUCGGCUCUCGCAUCGAUGAAGAACGUAGCGAAAUGCGAUACCUGGUGUGAAUUGCAGAAUCCCGCGAACCAUCGAGUCUUUGAACGCAAGUUGCGCCCGAGGCCACUCGGCUGAGGGCACGCCUGUCCGGGCGUCACGC